rnacentral:rRNA from 1 species
UACGGAGGGUGCAAGCGUUAAUCGGAAUAACUGGGCGUAAAGCGCACGCAGGCGGUUUGACAAGUUAGGUGUGAAAUCCCCGGGCUCAACCUGGGAACUGCAUUUGAAACUGUCCGACUUGAGUCUUGUAGAGGGGGGUAGAAUUCCAGGUGUAGCGGUGAAAUGCGUAGAUAUCUGGAGGAAUACCGGUGGCGAAGGCG